GACAGAUCCCAGGAUGCUGGAAUUGUCUCUUGAGAAUUAAAAUGCUUCUGCUUUGCAUAAAGCUGAAAGAAUGGCAUUUAACAAGAGCUGCUAACACAGAGACAUGCCAGCUCCUGCAGCAUCCUAUAGCUCCUCCACGAAGGAAACAGCUGCCUGAGGUCUCCAGGAUGGCAGUAAACCGGAUGCCGCUCCAGUCACACCUCUCGCUGAGUGUGAGCCCACCAACUCCCAGCUCUCCCUUCUCCCACAUCGCCCCAUGCCUGCAGGAAGCGACCAGACUUGAGCUGGCGCCCCUUUAUCCAAGAAGUCUAAAAUGUUUGGUUGAGGGCUGGAGAGAUGGCUCAGUGGUUAAGAGCAUUGCGUGAUCUACCAAAGGUCCUGAGUUCAAUUCCCAGCAACCACAUGGUGGCU